AUUGCUUCGGCAGUACAUACUAAAAUUGGAACAAUACAGAGAAGAUUAGCAUGGUCGCUGAGCAAGGAUGACAUUCAAAUAAUUAAUAUAUCAUUACAAAAUAU